rnacentral:rRNA from 1 species
AUGGGGCGAAGGAGGCAGGGCUCCUGGCGGGCGGCCUGCGCGCAGGAGGCGGGUCGGUGGUGGCUCUUGCCGGGGCGGGGGCGUGGAUCAGCACCGAGGCCCCCUCGGGGCUCUGGAUUCGGAGUGGUCGUGUGGGUGACGCCUUGCUGCGGGGCUUCACUGGGGCGGAUGCCGCUCGGCUUGAGAUUGUUGGUACUGGCGUGCGUGCGGCUGCCGGUGGCGCAAGGAGGAUGCAAGGGCUCGUCUAUUUCUGUAGAAAUCAAUGGCCUGCUUGUGACACUGUUCUUCAGGCUCUAUGUGCUUCUUUAUGAUUUAUUUUUUUAG